CAAGCAUCACAUGAUUUGGGAUGCAAGGGUCCACGGACAACUCAAACACCACCAUGGCUGGAAGAAAGGACACUCCACAGCCUAGUUCAACAAGGAGGUGGCACCCCUUUGCUGCAUUCAGCAAGCUUGAAAGCAGCGUCCAUCACGGUCACAAGAGAAGGAGCUUUCCAGUGGUAACAACACAUCACGCAAUCCAGCAGCACAACUCCUUCCAGCAAACUUGAAUCAGUUCAGCUGCUGGUCCAGCAGAAUAGAUGCUUCACGGUCCAUGCAAAGAGAAGCAGUAGCACACGGUGGCUGCAGCAAAAGAAGAUGGAAGAUCACGCUCCAACAAGCACAUCCAACAAGGAGAAGCAGCAGCUUACGGUUUCUUUUGGUUGGCUUGGAGGGGCAGCAGCUGGUCCAGUGGAGAAGACCUUCACAGUCCAGUAAAGAGUAGCCACCACCGAGAAGGGAGGAGCUGUACAAGCAGAAGAGAAGCUCACGGCCUGCACCAGCGGUCCAACAACACUCACGGGCUCUUCUUUCCCUUUGGAGGUGGGAGACCACACACAAUGGGAAGGGAUUCACGUUCAGUUUAGGUGCUGUCACAGCAGCAGACUUCCUCCUCCAUGGUAUCUUCAUGCGUCCAGAACAGCAGCCACCAACGUUGGUUCCUAUCUCAGAUUUUCCAGUCCACCAAAGGUGGUAUUUCCAGCAACGUCCUCCCAUCCAGAAGCAGCUCACACUCCAGCAGCUUGGUAGCAGCGAGAAACCAGCAGCCACCUUGGAGAGGAGAUGAAGAUCACGGCCUGGUCUAGCAACACAGCAGCAGCAACAUUUGCAUCCAACAACACCAACACUUCACCGAGAGCAAGCAGAAGCAUCUUGAUCCAGCCACUUCCAUGAGCAACAUCCAUACUUCACGGUCAGCACAUCCAGCAUGGAAUGUGGGCACCACAUUUCAAAAGAAUUUGGCAGCCAACAGAAAAGAAGAUGGCACAAACAAAUGAAGGAGAAGUCACGGGAGGAGACUAUGCGGGAGUUGGUGAGAGAAUUCCUUAUAAAAAGAAGGCAGCACCAGAGAAGAUGGGAGCAUCAGUGUUAGGAGUAGGAAUUUAGAAGAGUUUUACGUUGGCUUUUAUUUUUCCUCCUCCCCUUUGGGGAGGUUUUGGAUUUGUUCUUGUUUUCCAAUUUGUUUUCCAGUUUCAAUCUGCACGUUUAAUUUCCAUGUUGUUUUCCAGUUUGUUUUUCAAUCGAAAUUAAAUUUACAGUUUGCAUUUACAAUUUCAUCUGCACGUUUAACGCUGCAAGUUUCUGGUUAC
rnacentral:sRNA from 1 species